rnacentral:lncRNA from 13 species
UUUAAGUCUCUCGCAGGGAGUAUUUUAAUCCUUGAUUCAUAGAUGAGGUUAGUAACUUGCCCACAUUACCCACAUAGUAAAUGGUGGAGCUAAGAUUCACAUCUAGCUUUGAUUCUAAGCCCCAUAACAAUAUCCAAAGAGCAAGGAUUGUACCUUCCAAAAGUGUGUUGUCAUUCCAUCUAAAGCACCCCUGAUUUGCUUCUCUUAGAACCUCAGCACAGAUGUGACUUGCUUUUCUUUAGUGUAUAAGACACAGGUAUCAAAAUGGGGGACAUGAUAACAAUGUUAACUAGUAAUAACAUGUUUGCAACAAUCUUUUCUCAUUUUGCUCUGACAAUAAUUGCAUUAAGGUGGGUGGUAUUAACUCCAUUUAUAUGACAAGGUAAUCGUAGUUGUGACUUCCUUAAAAAUCAUAAAUCUUAUACUAGAUCCAGUAUCUUCACUGCUCACAUCUUUUACUCUUAAACUUAUGCUAUCUCUGGCCUUCUUGUAUUUAUUUAUAGAUGCACCAAUGGUCCAUUGCAUAACAAUGAAAGAUGCAAAGAUUCCCAGUUGCUUCAAAUAAACACUUCCAAAUCUUCCAAUGUGAUAAGGAAGAUAAUUCUAUUUAAGACAUACUUCCCAUGGGGUGGAAGUGCUGUGUUAGAGGUGAACACCAGGCAUGAUGGAGGAAACGGAACAGCUCCCACAAGAGGCUAUAAAAUGCUUCAAAAUAUUCUACCAUACGAGCUUCAGAAAAAAAUAGAAGAAAAAUACCUCUGGACAAUACAGUCUGUAUGAAGUCCCUUGGGCAAUUCCUGGCACCCAAAAGGUGUUGAAUGUAAGUCGAAUUGCCUCUUUAUGUAAAUGUUUAUAUUACUCUCUCCACAAAUACCCAAUAUCUCCAAAGCAGGCUUGUCAAACUCAAGGUCUGAGUAAUGCCAAAAAAGAAAAAAAAAUUUCUUUGUAGGGGAAAGUUAUGACAUUCAUUUGCACAUAAUUUGUAUUAAUAAUAAAGCAUCUAGAAAUAUGUGCUUUUAAGGGCUG